AACGAACGCUGGCGGCAUGCCUAACACAUGCAAGUCGAACGAGACCUUCGGGUCUAGUGGCGCACGGGUGCGUAACGCGUGGGAACCUGCCUUUAGGCUCGGAAUAACUCAGAGAAAUUUGAGCUAAUACCGGAUGAUGUCUUCGGACCAAAGAUUUAUCGCCUUUAGAUGGGCCCGCGUUGGAUUAGCUAGGUGGUGGGGUAAAGGCCUACCAAGGCGACGAUCCAUAGCUGGUCUGAGAGGAUGAUCAGCCACACUGGGACUGAGACACGGCCCAGACUCCUACGGGAGGCAGCAGUGGGGAAUAUUGGACAAUGGGCGAAAGCCUGAUCCAGCAAUGCCGCGUGAGUGAUGAAGGCCUUAGGGUUGUAAAGCUCUUUUACCCGAGAUGAUAAUGACAGUAUCGGGAGAAUAAGCUCCGGCUAACUCCGUG
rnacentral:rRNA from 1 species